rnacentral:rRNA from 1 species
CCUACGGGUGGCAGCAGUGAGGAAUAUUGGUCAAUGGACGAGAGUCUGAACCAGCCAAGUAGCGUGAAGGAUGACUGCCCUAUGGGUUGUAAACUUCUUUUAUAUGGGAAUAAAAUGUUCCACGUGUGGGAUUUUGUAUGUACCAUAUGAAUAAGGAUCGGCUAACUCCGUGCCAGCAGCCGCGGUAAUACGGAGGAUCCGAGCGUUAUCCGGAUUUAUUGGGGUUAAAGGGAGCGUAGGUGGAUUGUUAAGUCAGUUGUGAAAGUUUGCGGCUCAACCGUAAAAUUGCAGUUGAAACUGGCAGUCGUGAGUACAGUAGAGGUGGGCGGAAGUCGUGGUGUAGCGGUGAAAUGCUUAGAUAUCACGAAGAACUCCGAUUGCGAAGGCAGCUCACUGGACUGCAACUGACACUGAGGCUCGAAAGUGUGGGUAUCAAACAGGAUUAGAUACCCUAGUAGUC